AGGUUGUGUGCUUCGUAUGAGAAUCUAAUGCCUGAUGAUCUGUCACUGUUUCACUUGGCCCCCAGAUGAGACCAUCUAGUUGCAGAAAAAUAAGCUCAGAGCUUCCAAGGAUUCUACUUUAUG
rnacentral:antisense_RNA from 1 species